CCUCAUAUUUUGAAUUUUGUGGAAAUGUGGAUUUCAACCUCCGAAAUAUAAUAUUUCUUUUUAAGUGAUGAAUUUGAUAGGGGAAAAAAAGGCUAUUUUCCUGCCUUGCAAAGGCUCCCAAGUUAAUCAGUGGGAUCCCUUUAAUGGAACUUGGAGUGUUUGCCAUUGACCAGCAGCGUGUUGGGAUCGACAGCAAAGGACUGAUUGCCUGGAAGAGGAGCAAGUGGAUGAGUCAAGGGAAUUAAUGCAAACUGUUAAUGAAAGGGACAAGCAUUUUCCUCCUUCCCACAGCUCUUCCUCAAAGCAUCUCUAGAGACAACUUCCAAAGCAGCAAAAACUGAACCAGCACAAUGAAGAAGAGUGAUUUUGUACCAAUCAUUAAUGUGCUACAAAAUGUUAAUUGCAAGGAUAUUGAUUCCAAAGCAGCUCAUUCCAGUUGUGGAGAAACAUAUGCUUGUCUUUGCUCAGAAAGUAACACGACCAAGUGACUCGUCAGGGCUGGCAACUCCAAUGAUGAACCAAGUUUAGAAGCUGCUGUUUGAAGAGUCCAGGAAAUUCAAUUUCAAUGGUUUUCAUGGAUAAACAUCCUUUAAACGAGAGACAGAGGAGAUGCUGCCUCCCAAAAUACCUGAAUAGAUCUGAAGCAGAGAGCUGGACCACGGAGCUCAUAUUGGGAUCAUGGAGCCUAAGCUGGCAGAGACAGUGGGAUGGGAAUAUUCUGACAACCUUGGAAGAAAAGACUUGGCUUUUCUGAG